rnacentral:rRNA from 1 species
CUCUGUGACUCCUACGGGAGGCAGCAGUGGGGAAUAUUGCACAAUGGGCGCAAGCCUGAUGCAGCCAUGCCGCGUGUGUGAAGAAGGCCUUCGGGUUGUAAAGCACUUUCAGUUGUGAGGAAGGUGGUGUCGUUAAUAGCGGCAUCAUUUGACGUUAGCAACAGAAGAAGCACCGGCUAACUCCGUGCCCAGCAGCCGCGGUAAUACGGAGGGUGCGAGCGUUAAUCGGAAUUACUGGGCGUAAAGCGCAUGCAGGUGGUUUGUUAAGUCAGAUGUGAAAGCCCGGGGCUCAACCUCGGAACUGCAUUUGAAACUGGCAGACUAGAGUACUGUAGAGGGGGUAGAAUUUCAGGUGUAGCGGUGAAAUGCGUAGAGAUCUGAAGGAAUACCGGUGGCGAAGGCGGCCCCCUGGACAGAUACUGACACUCAGAUGCGAAAGCGUGGGGAGCAAACAGGAUUAGAUACCCUGGGAG